rnacentral:rRNA from 1 species
AUUGAACGCUGGCGGCAUGCCUUACACAUGCAAGUCGAACGGUAACAGGUCUUCGGAUGCUGACGAGUGGCGAACGGGUGAGUAAUACAUCGGAACGUGCCCGAGAGUGGGGGAUAACGAAGCGAAAGCUUUGCUAAUACCGCAUACGAUCUCAGGAUGAAAGCAGGGGACCGCAAGGCCUUGCGCUCCCGGAGCGGCCGAUGGCAGAUUAGGUAGUUGGUGGGAUAAAAAGCUUACCAAGCCGACGAUCUGUAGCUGGUCUGAGAGGACGACCAGCCACACUGGGACUGAGACACGGCCCAGACUCCUACGGGAGGCAGCAGUGGGGAAUUUUGGACAAUGGGCGCAAGCCUGAUCCAGCCAUGCCGCGUGCAGGAUGAAGGCCCUUGGGUUGUAAACUGC